rnacentral:lncRNA from 1 species
GUGAGGGUCAAAAUGCCUAGAGGCACAGAAAGAGCCCAUGAGCUUGUCUGCUAUGGUUUGAAUGAAAUUGCCAACAUCCACAGAGUCAUCAAACCUGAGCAACUCAAGAAGUUCUUCCCAGAAGUCAGUCUAGGAGCUCUGAGGAGACCGGAGAGCAUUGAGCUACUGAUAAGCCACCGCGAAGGAAGACUUGCUCCGCAAAGAGUGAAGGUGAUUGGAGACCUUGUCUUAUGGGAGAGCCCGCUAGGAAAGAUUGUUGGUGGAGCACAUCCAGAUCUGUUUGAAGAAGUCGAUAUGGCCGCGCACAGGUCUGGAACGCACUUUGCUCGAUCCAUGAGAGCAACCGCUGUCAAGUAUCAGGAGAUAACUAAAACACAAGAGUUCACAGCUGAAACCAAAAGCACAGUUGCUCGCAGAGAGUUCUUGGAUUGGUGGAAAUGGGAUAGCAUUGGAGCAGCUUGCGAACCGAAGUGUGGAGGAUGCCGGUGCGGCAAUUGUCAACCAGGAGGCAAGGAAAUGACUCUGAGUGAGGAAAGGGAGCUGGAGAUCAUAAGGAAAGGCCUCACCUACAUCAAAGCAGAUGCUCACAGCGAUAAACCGCACUGGGACACAAAAUACCCCUGGAUUCAAGAUCCAAGUUCCCUUCCUUACAACAGGAGUGGGGUUGAAGCCACCUUCUUAAGAACAGAAAAACAACUCAAGAAAGAGCCAGAGUGGAAAAUAGCAUACACAGCUCAAGUGCAUGAAAUGGUGGAGAGAAGAGCAGCAAAGAAACUCACCAAAGAGAUGAUCGCCAGCUGGAAAGGACCAGUAUGGUAUGUCAGCCACUUGGUGGCGCCAAACCCACACUCUGUCACAACACCUGUGCGACUGGUAUGGAACAGCAGCCAGAAGUUUAAAGGGGUCAGCAUGAAUGACCUGCUGCUGAAAGGGCCUGAUGUUCUCAAUCCCAUCCGAGCAGUACUACUCAGGUUCAGAAGAGGUGUCCAUGCUGCUCUUGGCGACAUCAGGAAGAUGUACAAUUCGGUGUGGUUAGAAAACCUGGAG